UGAGCAAUCUGCCCUUCUCAUCGGAAUAAGCGUUGGAAACGACGUCUAAUGCCGAAUACGACCUCCUUUCGCAUGAUCUGAAGUGGAAAGCUCCGGCGGAGAAGGAUGAGCUCGCGGCCUAUUAGCUAGUUGGUGUGGGUAAUGGCCCACCAAGGCGACGACGGGUAGCCGGCCUGAGAGGGUGACCGGCCACACUGGGACUGAGACACGGCCCAGACUCCUACGGGAGCAG
rnacentral:rRNA from 1 species